CAGCAUCCCCAAAAUCCAUAGAGAGGGAGAAGGGAAAUGCACCAUGGCUUUGUCCGGGCUCCUUUGGACGUCUCUGGGAGGCAGGCCAGUCAGAACACUCCCCAGACUCUGCGACUUGGAGCUGAGAACCCCUCUCUUCUCUGGCUGUGGAGCUGUGAUAAGGUCCCCUUCGUACUGCCUGACUUCCUGAGGAAACUUAGCUGGACACCAUCUGGCUUCCCACUUCCAACUCUAGCCUGGACAUGGAAGAAAGAGGUCAAGCAGCCUGCAGCCCAGCAGAAGCUGGAGGAGAAAGAGAUUUGCGACUUCCUUUUCCACUCCAACGCCACUUAAACAAGGAG
rnacentral:lncRNA from 9 species